rnacentral:rRNA from 1 species
GAUGAACGCUAGCGGGAGGCCUAACACAUGCAAGCCGAGCGGUAGAGUUUCUUCGGAAACUUGAGAGCGGCGCACGGGUGCGUAACACGUGUGCAACCUACCUUUAUCUGGGGGAUAGCCUUUCGAAAGGAAGAUUAAUACCCCAUAAUAUAAUGAUUGGCAUCAAUUAUUAUUGAAAACUCCGGUGGAUAGAGAUGGGCACGCGCAAGAUUAGAUAGUUGGUGAGGUAACGGCUCACCAAGUCAAUGAUCUUUAGGGGUCCUGAGAGGUAGAUCCCCCACACUGGUACUGAGACACGGACCAGACUCCUACGGGAGGCAGCAGUGAGGAAUAUUGGACAAUGGGUGAGAGCCUGAUCCAGCCAUCCCGCGUGAAGGAUGACGGUCCUAUGGAUUGUAAACUUCUUUUGUACAGGGAUAAACCUACCCUCGUGAGGGUAGCUGAAGGUACUGGACGAAUAAGCACCGGCUAACUCCGUG